rnacentral:rRNA from 1 species
UACGUAGGGUGCAAGCGUUGUCCGGAAUUAUUGGGCGUAAAGAGCUCGUAGGCGGUCUGUUGCGUCGGCUGUGAAAACCCGGGGCUCAACUCCGGGCCUGCAGCCGAUACGGGCAGACUAGAGUUCGGCAGGGGAGACUGGAAUUCCUGGUGUAGCGGUGAAAUGCGCAGAUAUCAGGAGGAACACCGGUGGCGAAGGCGGCCUUCUGGGCCUGUUCUGACGCUGAGGAGCGAAAGCGUGGGGAGCAAACAGG